rnacentral:rRNA from 1 species
CCGUAGGUGAACCUGCGGAGGGAUCAUUACCGAGUUUACAACUCCCAAACCCSKGUGAACAUACCACUUNGNUUGCCUCGGCGGAUCAGCCCGCUCCCGGUAAAACGGGACGGCCCGCCAGAGGACCCCUAAACUCUGUUUCUAUAUGUAACUUCUGAGUAAAACCAUAAAUAAAUCAAAACUUUCAACAACGGAUCUCUUGGUUCUGGCAUCGAUGAAGAACGCAGCAAAAUGCGAUAAGUAAUGUGAAUUGCAGAAUUCAGUGAAUCAUCGAAUCUUUGAACGCACAUUGCGCCCGCCAGUAUUCUGGCGGGCAUGCCUGUUCGAGCGUCAUUUCAACCCUCAAGCACAGCUUGGUGUUGGGACUCGCGUUAAUUCGCGUUCCUCAAAUUGAUUGGCGGUCACGUCGAGCUUCCAUAGCGUAGUAGUAAAACCCUCGUUACUGGUAAUCGUCGCGGCCACGCCGUUAAACCCCAACUUCUGAAUGUUGACCUCGGAUCAGGUAGGAAUACCCGCUGAACUUAAGCAUAUCAAUAAGCGGAGG